UACGUAGGGGGCGAGCGUUGUCCGGAUUUAUUGGGCGUAAAGAGCGUGUAGGCGGCCAGGUAGGUCCGUUGUGAAAACUCGAGGCUCAACCUCGAGACGUCGGCGGAAACCCUCUGGCUAGAGUCCGGAAGAGGAGAGUGGAAUUCCUGGUGUAGCGGUGAAAUGCGCAGAUAUCAGGAAGAACACCCGUGGCGAAGGCGGCUCACUGGCCCGGUACUGACGCUGAGGUGCGAAAGCGUGGGGAGCAAACAGG
rnacentral:rRNA from 1 species